AUGGACUUUCAGUUGAAGAUUUUCAGCCUUGUGCUACUCAGUGUCACAGUGUCCAGUGGAGAAAUUGUGCUCACCCAGUCUCCAGCAUCCAUGGCUGCAUCUCAAGGGGAGAAGGUCACCAUCACCUGCAGUGCCAGCUCAAGUGUAAGCAAUAGUAGAUUGCACUGGUACCAACAGAAGCUGGGAGUCUCUCCCAAACUCCUGAUUUAUAGCACAUCCACCCUGGCUUCUGGAGUCCCAGCUCGAUUCAGUGGCAGUGGGUCUGGGACCUCUUACUCUCUCACAAUCAGCAGUUUUGAAACUGAAGAUGCUGCCACUUACUACUGUCAGCAGGAAAAUAGUUACCCAUCCACACUGUGA